GUCAAGAAGAAGAAAAUUCAUGAGGCUUGGCGUCCUCGCGCUCCUGCUGUUUGCGCGCAUGCGCGUGGAAGAGCGAUUUCAAAUACAAGGAAGUAACGGCUCCUUUCCUCAAAGAAAGAAACACCCGCUGCGCAAGGUGAGUAAAGGCUCCGAUAUAAAUACACAGAUUUAUUAUUUGUAUACUGAUUCAUACAAUGUUUUGUUUUAACCAUUAAUUUAAUAGCUGCGAUGCUUACGAGUCUAAUGCACUUUGUGGGACGAAAUGGAGACUACAAACACAAGGUCACAAACAAUAAUUAUUAGUUAGGUUUAACUUACACAUGAUGUUUAUUGUUUACCUUUAUUCAUUGUAACUCUUUUCUUCAACUUUUCUAAAUUAUUGUUGUCUUUUACGUUUUUUAAAUAGUUACACAUCCAUGUUAACGUAACGUUACAUGUAACGUAAGGCUAUUAACGUUAGCCUAUUUUUCGAGUCAUUUGCACAUAACGUAACGUUACAUAAAACUGGUUUUGAUCAUUUUCUCUCCUCAGAAAAUCCAGUAUGACUUCUCUAAAAGUCUCAAAGGAUUCACAGAACAGCACUAUCAGUUAAUAAAGAAAUGUGUCUCUGUAGUGGACACCUGUGAGGCAGAGGACAGACAGCUGCUGAAGUCUGAUGCUGGCUGACAAUAAACAGACCUCUCUGGACGUACCCCAUCUUUUGUAGAGUAAUUCUAACAUUGCCCUUCCUGUAAAAUGAUGAUCCUGCUGUCCUGGAUGUAUAUGAUGAGCCUACACAUAAUCUCAGAACAGCUGUGGUAAUAGCAGGAGACCCAUUUGGUGAGAGCAGCACUGCAGUCUUUCCUGAUGGAGGAGACCAUGGACCAUUUCCAUAAGACUGAUGAUGUGUUUCAGCGGCCAUCAGCAUCGUAAAUCCUCACCAUUUUUUAAUAUUUUGAUUUUUUAAAAAUUAUGUGCAUUAAUAACGCUAUACUUUGUAUUAUAUCACAUUUGUAUCAAAUUACUAAAAAAAAAAUAGCUAAUGCAAGGGUGUUUCAAAUCCAGAGUCUUUUGGAGGAAUGCUAAAUUUGACAUUGUUUUAUCUUCUGACUGCUGUUAUCAGUCUCUGUCAGAUUUUUUCCUUUGAUUGAAAGUUGUGAAAAUGCUAUCUUUAGAGUUUUUGUUUUGUUAUUUGAGUAAAUGAGAAUGCAAAAAUAUUUGUGAUACUCUCCCAUUCACUGCUCUCGAAGUUAACCCAACUAUAACAACUUCCGCUGCUGAGAAACUGGUUUAUUAAGCUAUCUUGAGGCUUAUCAAUUUCUUAAAAUGUCCUGUGAUAAUUCUUCCAAUCAGUUUCCAUAAUUUAGAACAGGAAAGAAAAUGUUACUAUUAGUUGCAUUGUGUCUAAAAUUGAAUUGAAUUUAUUAAUUUAAAUUGUAUCAUUGUUGCAGGUACAUUAAAUGUUUUUUAAAGUUCUAAGAUAAUUGAGUCACAUUUAUUUGUUUAUAAUUUUACCAAGGUGUAAAUGUUUUUUUUUGUUGUUUUAUAUUUGUUUAUAGCAAUAUUAACACUGAUGUGUCCAUGAAUGGGAUUGUGAUGUGCAGUAUUGACUAUUUAAGGUGAUUAUGGAUAUUGUUGCUUAUCAAUAAACUAUGUUUUAUAUGCA